rnacentral:misc_RNA from 1 species
GCAAGACGUGUCGCCGGUACUGGACUAGAGGGGGCGCCUUGAGAAGCGUGCCGGUAGGAGGAGGAUGCCGGAGGAACAAGAGAAGCAAAAGUAGUAGUAACAACAACAACAAUAAUAGUUCAAAGAGUACAGGUGGAAGUAAUGUCAAUACUAAUAAAACUAUUGCUUCGGGUACUUCAACAAGUGCAAGUCCUUCAAGCUGCAGCACAGAAAUAAUGAAUGGUCGUCAUCACUUCCCUCAUGAACAACCAACGCAGUUAACUCCUCUCAUGGCAGCUUUUCAA